rnacentral:rRNA from 1 species
AGAGUUUGAUCCUGGCUCAGGAUGAACGCUAGCUACAGGCUUAACACAUGCAAGUCGAGGGGAAACGGCAUUGAGUGCUUGCACUCUUUGGACGUCGACCGGCGCACGGGUGAGUAACGCGUAUCCAACCUUCCCAUUACUGUGGGAUAACCUGCCGAAAGGCAGACUAAUACCGCAUAGUCUUCGAUGACGGCAUCAGAUUUGAAGUAAAGAUUUAUCGGUAAUGGAUGGGGAUGCGUCUGAUUAGCUUGUUGGCGGGGUAACGGCCCACCAAGGCAACGAUCAGUAGGGGUUCUGAGAGGAAGGUCCCCCACAUUGGAACUGAGACACGGUCCAAACUCCUACGGGAGGCAGCAGUGAGGAAUAUUGGUCAAUGGGCGAGAGCCUGAACCAGCCAAGUAGCGUGCAGGAUGACGGCCCUAUGGGUUGUAAACUGCUUUUAUGUGGGGAUAAAGUGAGCUACGUGUAGUUUAUUGCAGGUACCACAUGAAUAAGGACCGGCUAAUUCCGUGCCAGCAGCCGCGGUAAUACGGAAGGUCCAGGCGUUAUCCGGAUUUAUUGGGUUUAAAGGGAGCGUAGGCUGGAGAUUAAGUGUGUUGUGAAAUGUAGACGCUCAACGUCUGACUUGCAGCGCAUACUGGUUUCCUUGAGUACGCACAACGUUGGCGGAAUUCGUCGUGUAGCGGUGAAAUGCUUAGAUAUGACGAAGAACUCCGAUUGCGAAGGCAGCUGACGGGAGCGCAACUGACGCUUAAGCUCGAAGGUGCGGGUAUCAAACAGGAUUAGAUACCCUGGUAGUCCGCACAGUAAACGAUGGAUGCCCGCUGUUGGUACCUGGUAUCAGCGGCUAAGCGAAAGCAUUAAGCAUCCCACCUGGGGAGUACGCCGGCAACGGUGAAACUCAAAGGAAUUGACGGGGGCCCG